UUUUUUUGAUGCCCACUUUCUUCUAUUUCAAAGGAGAUCUUAAAGGAACCGGCUGAAAUACUUUUUCUGUGAAAAAAUUUCUACCUUGGUUCUCCUGCCCUGAGCAUUCUCACCCAAUCCUCCCUGAAUCCAGUGCUCACUCUCUUGUAAUGAGACCUGAAUUGUAUUUCCUUUGAUUCAUCAUCAGCAUAUUUCAUGAUUUUCUUUCUAACGGCAUCAGGCACUGCUUUUCUCUAUGCCUGGUAAAGGUAUCUAUCUUUUCAUUCUCCCCAGAAGCUGUACCAAAGCUGACAGUCUGUGAAGUUCCACCCAUUUGGUUGUGGGAGCUCUCCUACUAUAGUGAUAGCUGUCCCCGUGGGACCUGGUGCUUGCUCAGGCCUAUGAAUGGACACUCACUACCUCUGCUCUCAUCCUACCCCACCUUUUUCCAUGUCAGACUUGAUCUGCUCCUCCAGAUCCUCUGGGGACACAUAGAAGUCCUCUUCUGGCACUGAUGACUCGGGCCGGCAGUGUCCACAGCAGCAGUUGCAGCAGCAGCACAGGCAGCAGCAAAAGUAGCAGCCCGUCAAGAGGCCAACGAUGACAAACAGGGCCUAGGGAAACAGAGGAGAUUGUGAAGAAAGGAAAUUCAGUUUCACCUUUGCCCACCAGCUCGACAGCAUGAAGUAGGUGUUAACGUUUUCGUCUCCAAACUGCUCGGCCACGUAGAGUCCCAGCGAUCCGUACUUGUCGUAUAUGCUUCUCUUUGAAAUGUCGGGUGGCUUCCUGUCAUUUUUUAAACAGCUUGGAUCUCUGUCAGCUCACAAGGGCAGAUGCACCCAAUCCAUUUAUCACACUCCUAACAAUGGAGUUGGCAAAUUCGGAGAGCUGGAACACCUCCACUUGUAACACAUCCAAUUCCUGGUCAUCAGCAACAUUUUGAUUCCUCUUGGCAGAUACUCUUGGCUCUGAGGAAUCCUCGGGAAGUAUGGUGAGCAGAGACAGCUGCCAAAAUUCCACAACCGUCAAGGAGGUGGUCGUGCAAUGCCUCACCCUCUUGCAUGUUGUCCAUAGAGCAAGGAAACAACUAUAGAAUGUAGAGUUUAAGGAAGUGCUUGGAGUAUUUUUAAAUAGAAUAGGCACCUAUCCAUUGUUAAAGGCAUUUGUUGUCAUUUCUACAUUGAUACUUAAAGUGACAUAAUAUUCAACCAGAAUGUGAGCCUUUAAUUCUAAAUGUCUCUACACUCUUGGUCACCUGUCAAUGUGGCUAUAGCUAAUAUUAGAAAUAGCAUUCAAUGCCUCUAAUUUCCACUUCAAAAUCUAAUGACAGCUUUCAACUAAAAUGCAUAGUGAAUUUAAUUAGUGGCAGAUAAGAUAAACAUGUGGUUUAUAGUUAUAAUUAUCUAAAGCCCUCAAGAUCUUCCUAUUUUGAGGCAGUGACAUAAUUCUAAGAGUUACAAUGUUUUGCUCCAUUCUCUUCCUUGCCCCAUCCAACACUUCAAGAUGCAAUCAAACUACUGCUACCUACCACUCUCUACCAGUCUCUGAGUCACCUGAGGCCUGAUUCUAACCAUGCUGCCCCAGCUCUUAAAAUAUUUUAAUGUCUGUCAAUCUCGUGGUUUAUAUGAGGCUGUUAUAUAUACCGUUUGGAUAUUCUCUAAGUGCAUGUUAGUCCUUUACAAAUUUUUACUUUGGUUUUUAAAAUUAAUUUGUAGUAUUUUAAAAAUGCAUAUUCUAGAUAUGAAUUCUUUGUCAGUUAUAUGUAUUGCAUAUAUCUUCUCCCAUUCUGGGGCUUUCUUGUUGUUUUACUUUAUGGUAUCUCUUGGUAAUCACAAAUUCUUUCUUUUAAUUUACUGAAUUAACCAAUUUGUUCCUCAAUUCAGGAAGAUAUUGUUCUAUAAACUCUCUAUAACUCUAAAAUCUUUAUAGCUUUUCCUUUCAUAUGGAAGUCUAUGGCCCAUUGAUACCUGACAUUUUAAUGUGCUGGAGGGUAGAUGUCUAAUCUCACUUACUUUAAAUAGAUAUUCCACUCUUGUAGCACCAUUUAUUAGGAAAAGAAAAUCCUUUCCCUGGAUUUCUGGGAUCUCUAUUCUGCUCCAUUGGUCAAUUUGGUUAUUUCUGGGCCAAUAACAGUCUAACAUGUGAUGCUUUAAAAUACGUCUUCAUAUCUUAAAGAGCAAAUUCUGCCAUAUUGCUGUUCUUCAAGAGUUCUGUGGUUAUUCUGGGUCCUGUACAUUUCCACAUGAAUUUUAGAAUUAGCUUGUCAAUUUACACACACACACAUACACACACACACACACACACACAUGAACACAUGCACAUUCACACAACCUAUUGAGAUUUUUAUUGCAAUUGCAUUGACUCUAUAGAUUAAUUUGGAGAUUGACUUUUGUAUAGUAUGUCGACCUAUUUCAAUCUUUUUAACGAAUUUUAAAGUUUUAUCAUUUUUACCUUUAUGUUCUAUGUAUAUUUUCUUGGAUUUAGUCCUGGGAGCUUAAUUUUUUGUGGUUUUGACAUUUAAAAAUGUUCCUAAUUAUUUAUUGCAGAUAAAAAUAAUUUUUUUCUAUUUUUAUGUUUGAAAUAAUUGUUGUAUGUUGAUUUUUUUAUUCUUCCAACUUCCCAAGCUCAUGUCCAAAUUUUAUUAAAUUAUAAAUUCUUUUAAAUUUUCUACAUAGACAAUUAUAUAAGCUCAAGUGAUAAUUGGAUUUUUUCCCUUCGAAUCCUUAUAUCAUUUACAUUUCUUCCCUUAUUGUACUGCCUUGGCUAAGACCCCCCACCCCAAGUACGAUGUCAAAAGUGGCUGUAACAGGUGUCCUUCUUCUGAAUUCACUAUGAGUGAAUGGAUGCUGAAUUUUACCAAAUGUUAUUUCUGCACCUAUAGAGGAGAUAUCUUGUUUCUCUUUUGGCCUGUUAAUGUGAUUGAUUGAGUUUUUAAAUGUUAGAUGAAGCUUAUGUUUCUGGGAUAAACUCAGUUUGGUCAUUAUGUAUUUUUAAAAUUUAUUGCUGGGCUUGGUUUUCUAAUAUGUGCAUUAAACUCUAUAAAUUUUCCUCUAAGUGCUAUUUUGACUGCAUUUCACAUCUUAAUAUGUAGCACUGAAUUAUAGAUAUUUUAUAAUUUUAAUUAUGGUUUGUUAUUUUUAGCCACUAGUUGUUUUAAAUUA
rnacentral:lncRNA from 10 species